rnacentral:rRNA from 1 species
GGGGCCGCACAAGCAGUGGAUUAUGUGGUUAAUUCGAAGCAACGCGAAGAACCUUACCAGGGUUUGACAUCCAACUAACGAAGCAGAGAUGCAUUAGGUGCCCUUCGGGAAAGUUGAGACAGGUGGUGCAUGGUUGUCGUCAGCUCGUGUCGUGAGAUGUUGGGUUAAGUCCCGCAACGAGCGCAACCCUUAUUGCUAGUUGCUACGCAAGAGCACUCUAGCGAGACUGCCGUUGACAAAACGGAGGAAGGUGGGGACGACGUCAAAUCAUCAUGCCCCUUAUAUCCUGGGCUACACACGUAAUACAAUGGCAUUAAACAGAGGGAAGCGAAGGAGCGAUCCGGAGCAAAUCCCUAAAAGGUGUCUCAGUUCGGAUUGCAGUCUGCAACUCGACUACAUGAAGUCGGAAUCGCUAGUAAUCGCGGAUCAGCAUGUCGCGGUCGAAUACGUUCCCGGGUCUU